rfam:Onchocerca volvulus assembly O_volvulus_Cameroon_v3 genomic scaffold, OVOC_OM1b
CCAACCAUAGCUCAGUUGGUAGAGCGGAGGACUGUAGAAUAUAGUAAUUAAUAUACGGUAAUCCUUAGGUCGCUGGUUCGAAUCCGGCUGGUUGGA